rnacentral:misc_RNA from 1 species
CUUGCCUCCCCCACUCCCAACCCUAACAAUUUGUUGUAUUUUUCUUCCAAUAGUCGCUGCCGGAAAUAUUUGUUGUUUAAGUGCAGCUUUAAACUUCAGCAAUAGAAAUGGAAAACGAAGCAGAUGAAAUUUUGAGGAAGUGCAUGAAGCUUGGGUGGCUUUUUACAGUGAAACAUUUUAAUUUGGAGGUUAGUUCUUUUGCUAAAGGAUUUUAAAACAAGACGUGACAUUAGCAGUAACCAUAAAUAGCCGAGGAGUCUGCCGUUUAUUGUCAUCAAGCCCGCAGCUCUAUUCUUCUUCAUCUGAGGAAAGACACAGUUCGCCAUUUAUUUUGAGAAGAAGACAGAAUGGUAAUGAUGCUUUUUAUGUUCCUAUUGCUGGGGCUAUUUCCCACAAAACAAUAUGUAGCAUCAGCCGUUUGGCUGCAAGCUCAUGCAACUUUCUAUGGUGGAAGUGACGGUUCCGGUACAAUGGGUAAGUGUCCAUUUCCCAUCUUUUGAUUGGUACAGAUAUAUUUAUAUUCUGCUUAAUUUCCAUGCAAGCAUUAACUAGCUAACGUUUGUGACAAUUCCAUAUAUGUGCUGAGUGUUGACCUCUCAUAGGCGGUGCCUGUGGAUAUGGAAAUCUCUACACCGAUGGCUAUGGAUUCAAAAGUGCUGCACUGAGCACAGCCCUAUUCAACGAUGGCAAGUCAUGUGGUGGCUGCUAUCAGAUUGUCUGCGACGCCACUCAGGUUCCUCAAUGGUGCCUUAAGGGUUCAUCAAUUACGAUUACUGCUACAAACUUCUGUCCACCAAAUUAUAAUCUCCCUAGUGACAAUGGAGGGUGGUGCAACCCCCCACGACCACACUUCGACAUGUCGCAACCUGCCUUCGAGACUAUCGCAAAGUAUAGUGCUGGCAUUGUCCCUGUUUUCUACAGAAAGGUGAGAUGCACGAGAAGUGGGGGCAUAAGAUUUACAAUCAAUGGAAAUAACUACUUUGAGCUGGUGCUUAUAUCAAACGUAGGAGGAGCAGGAGAGAUCUCCAAUGUGUGGAUCAAAGGAUCCGAAUCCAACCAAUGGGAAGCCAUGUCAAGGAAUUGGGGCGCCAAUUGGCAGAGCCUAAGCUAUCUGAAUGGCCAGAGCUUGUCCUUUAAAGUCCAAGCAAGCGACGGAAGUACCCGCACUGCUCUGAACUUGGUUCCUUCCAACUGGGUGUUUGGCCAAUCCUUCAAAAGCAAUGUUCAAUUCCAGAAUUCAUAGGUGUUUCAGAAGUUUCUUAUUGUCCCUUUUCAACCUGUCUCUUCGUUUGUGUUUAUUUCACCACCACUGUAUUGAUUGAUUACCUGCGUUGUGUGCAAAGUAGCCCACCGAGUACAU